rnacentral:rRNA from 1 species
CAGCCGCCGCGGUAACACGUAGGUGGCAAGCGUUGUCCGGAAUUAUUGGGCGUAAAGCGCGCGCAGGCGGAUCGGUCAGUCUGUCUUAAAAGUUCGGGGCUUAACCCCGUGAUGGGAUGGAAACUGCCAAUCUAGAGUAUCGGAGAGGAAAGUGGAAUUCCUAGUGUAGCGGUGAAAUGCGUAGAUAUUAGGAAGAACACCAGUGGCGAAGGCGACUUUCUGGACGAAAACUGACGCUGAGGCGCGAAAGCCAGGGGAGCGAACGGGAUUAGAUACCCGCGUAGUCCCUGUCUCUUAUACA